GACGAACGCUGGCGGCGUGCUUAACACAUGCAAGUCGAACGGAAAGGCCCUUCGGGGUACUCGAGUGGCGAACGGGUGAGUAACACGUGGGUGAUCUGCCCUGCACUUUGGGAUAAGCCUGGGAAACUGGGUCUAAUACCGAAUAGGACCACGGCCUUCAUGGGUUGUGGUGGAAAGCUUUUGCGGUGUGGGAUGGGCCCGCGGCCUAUCAGCUUGUUGGUGGGGUAAUGGCCUACCAAGGCGACGACGGGUAGCCGGCCUGGGAGGGUGACCGGCCACACUGGGACUGAGAUACGGCCCAGACUCCUACGGGAGGCAGCAGUGGGGAAUAUUGCACAAUGGGCGCAAGCCUGAUGCAGCGACGCCGCGUGAGGGAUGACGGCCUUCGGGUUGUAAACCUCUUUCAGCAGGGACGAAGCGCAAGUGACGGUACCUGUAGAAGAAGGACCGGCCAACUACGUGCCAGCCGCCGCGGUAA
rnacentral:rRNA from 1 species